rnacentral:rRNA from 1 species
GUCCACGCCGUAAACGAUGACUACUAGGUGUCGGGCAGCAAAGCUGUUCGGUGUCGCAGCAAACGCAAUAAGUAGUCCACCUGGGGAGUACGUUCGCAAGAAUGAAACUCAAAAGGAAUUGACGGGGACCCGCACAAGCGGUGGAGCAUGUGGUUUAAUUCGAAGCAACGCGAAGAACCUUACCUGCUCUUGACAUCUCCCUGACCGGCAAGUAAUGUUGCCUUUCUUCGGGACAGGGAUGACAGGUGGUGCAUGGUUGUCGU